rnacentral:lncRNA from 1 species
UCAUAUUCACACAAAAACUAAUAACUAAAUUAAAUCCCCAAUCUAUAACUCAUUGGAGGAAAAACGUCACUGCACACGGACCAUAAUUAAAUAAAUUUUCAACCAACCAAAAUACAUAUCAUGUGAAAUAUUGGAAAUUAAAGCAUAAUUGCAAAUAUUUAUAUAUUUAGUUUAGAUACAAUAUAAAAACACACCAACGAUGACUGAACAAGACACACAUUAUUGAUAAUUAAUACUUAUUCUUGAAAAUGCCAAAAUGCAAUUCCAAUUAAUUAUUUGUAUUCAUUAGGGUUUGAGUGGAGGUGAGCCUCAAUAGCUUGCAAGAAUGCCUUAGCAGCCUCUGUUGCUUUGUUGAUCUUCUCUCUUAUGACAUUAUGGUUAUCUCCUUUGGUGUGGUAUGUAGAGACUGUAUUUAUAGACUGAACCUCCAUUUGCUAGCAGCUUCGAUUUUGAUGGCGGUCGAGGAAGACUACAAAUCUUCACCCUAAUUCAUCACCUUCGAUCACACUAAACUUGUACACAUGAUUUGCCUCAUCGACUUCUUCAAUUUUAUGCUUCACCGUCAUAACUUUAUCCCCUAUAUAUAAUAAUAUAUAUAUAAUUCAGAAUAACGAAUACAAAUUUCGACGUAACGAAAUUUUAAUUAUUACCUUCAUCAUAAUAAGUUAUCAACAGGAUAGAUCCAGCUCCUCCAUUGCCCUCUUUCACNAUAAUUAAUACUUAUUCUUGAAAAUAGCCAAAAUGCAAUUCCAAUUAAUUAUUUGUAUUCAUUAGGGUUUGAGUGGAGGUGAGCCUCAAUAGCUUGCAAGAAUGCCUUAGCAGCCUCUGUUGCUUUGUUGAUCUUCUCUCUUAUGACAUUAUGGUUAUCUCCUUUGGUGUGGUAUGUAGAGACUGAUUUAUAGACUGAACCUCCAUUUGCAGCAGCUUCGAUUUUGAUGGCGGUCGAGGAAGACUCAAAAUCUUCACCCAGAUCAUCACCUUCGAUCACACUAAACUUGUACACAUGAUUUGCCUCAUCGACUUCUUCAAUUUUAUGCUUCACCGUCAUAACUUUAUCCCCU